rnacentral:rRNA from 1 species
UACGUAGGGCGCAAGCGUUGUCCGGAAUUAUUGGGCGUAAAGGGCGCGUAGGCGGUGCGGUAAGUCACCUGUGAAACCUCUAGGCUCAACCUAGAGCCUGCAGGCGAAACUGCCGUGCUUGAGGGUGGGAGAGGUGCGUGGAAUUCCCGGUGUAGCGGUGAAAUGCGCAGAUAUCGGGAGGAACACCGAUUGCGAAGGCAGCUCACAAAACUGUCACUGACGCUGAGGCACGAAAGCGUGGGGAUCAAACAGG